UAGAUGUUUCACCUAAAAGAAGGGAUGUUCCAAGGAACCCUUAUAUGGACAUGCCAUGCUGGUUCAAGCAGGACAGGAAGGAGCCAGGUCUUGGAAGGCCCUGAAUGCCACACUGAGGAGCCCGGAUCUGAUUAUGCAGGCCUGGUGGUUGAUGCUGGCUGUCGGCUGGAACACUCACAUAGGGCCUCUCCCUGUGGCCUGGGCUUCCUCACAACAUGGUGGCUGGGUUCCAAGGGCAACCAUAUCCAACAGACGUGAAUGGCUUAUCAUGGAAUGGACUUCAGAGCCACACUCUCUGGCUAUGAAUCUCAGCUCUACCAUUUACUGAUUGGGUAACUUCUGCAAAUACCAGUAACAUGUCUUGAGGAAAAGUGUCUCUGUCUGAAGUCACUCCUGGGGCUGAAAGAGCAAAACUGGGUCUGGGACUGACAGUGAAAAUCAGCUUGCACUGCCCAAGAAUGAAGCCAGGAGGACAGAGAAGAUAAAGCCAGCUGGAAAGCCAACAGGAAAUACUUUCUCCCAAAGUCACAUAGAAACUAUGAAAUGUCAUAAGGACCUCUCUUUGGGUGACCGAUGCUUUCUGAUCUGUGACAAAGGCCUUCUUUGCCAUUCUCAUCUAUUACGGAGGACAACCAACUACUCAGCCACCCUCAUGACACAACAGCUUUCAAUCCCCAGUUAACUCUGCUUUUCUCAAUCCUGAGUCCUAAAGAGUAACACGAGCAGUCCUGUGGAAGGCCCCACCUCACCACAUCAAGGCAAGAAAUAUGAUUGCAUCACUGCAGGCUCCUUCCUGGUGGCCUCUGGCUGAUGAGGCUUAACGGGACUGUCAGGGUCUGGAAUAGAGGACUGUGAUUGGCAGCCCCGCCAGGACCGUGGGAUGGAGGGCUGAAGUUCGUCCAAAACAAGGUGGAAUGCUGUUAUUAAGGAACAGUGAAAGGACUGGGCUUCCAGACCCAAGACAUCCAAACUCCAAGAGUCUAUGCUAACAAUCAUGCUAAUUGUUAUUAUUGCAGUCGUGUUCUUAGCAAAUGUCUUAUAAAAUUAUAGAUGAUAAUAAUAAUGCUUAACGGUGAUUGGGCAUUUGCUAUGUGCCAGGCAUUGCUUGUUUAUUUAAUUCUUGAAGCAACCUAUUUUAUAAGGUCUUCUGCCAGUUCUGGGCCAUGCCAUCUGUGAAGGGAGAGUCAUCCAGCGUGAAGACGAGAGGUUGCCAGCUUCCAGCUCUGGGUGCCACCUCAGUGACUACUCUGGCCUAGCAGUGUUCCCUGGAUCUCUCUAGAUCUUUGUUGGAGAUGUAUGAAGUUAGAAGUGGGUACUGGCCCAACACGCCCUACUUUAGGUCAGGACUCGCACUCC